GAUGAACGCUGACGGCGUGCCUAAUACAUGCAAGUCGAGCGAACGGACGAGACGCUUGCUUUUCUGACGUUAGCGGCGGACGGGUGAGUCACACGUGGAUAACCUACCUAUAAGACUGGGAUAACUUCGGGACACCGGAGCUAAUACCGGAUAAUAUUUUGAACCGCAUGGUUCAAAAGUGAAAGACGGUCUUGCUGUCUCUUCUAGAUGGAUCCGCGCUGCAUUAGCUAGUUGGUAAGGUAACGGCUUACCAAGGCAACGAUGCAUAGCCGACCUGAGAGGGUGAUCGGCCACCCUGGAACUGAGACACGGUCCAGACUCCUACGGGAGGCAGCAGUAGGGAAUCUUACGCAAUGGGCGAAAGCCUGACGGAGCAACGCCGCGUGAGUGAUGAAGGUCUUCGGAUCGUAAAACUCUGUUAUUAGGGAAGAACAUAUGUGUAAGUAACUGUGCACAGCUUGACGGUACCUAAUCAGAAAGCCACGGCUAACUACGUG
rnacentral:rRNA from 1 species